rnacentral:antisense_RNA from 1 species
UUCAAAGCUAACUAAGAAUUAAUCAAGCUUGUUUACUUGCCUCGGUUUUUGAGGUGGAGCAAAGUUAAAGAUAUUACUGCUUGAGUUAUUUGAAAAGGAAUUGCUUGUUGAAUUUUGCUCACUUAUUUGAGAAAAACCACGAAAUUCAGAAGAAAAUGUGGCAAAUCCUCCCAUUGAAUUGUCCGAUACUGGAUGGGUUUUGAAAGGAGUUGAAAGGUUCAAAUUAGUUGUGUGAAACCCAAACGAUUGCUGUUCUUCAAUGUUACAACAAUUAUUAGAAUUAGCGCAUAAAUUAUUAUCACUUUUAUUCGAACUAAAUGGACCAUUUACUAAGAAUUGAGAUGAUCCAAAGCCAGAAACUUUAGGAGCAGUUAAAUUUGCUAUACAAUUAGGAAAUCCAAGCAAGCCGCCAAGAUUGGCUGGAGAUGUCGAAUUACCUUCAGGCGUUUGUCUAAUUCUUUCAUCACUAAUAUCUUUAAUAUUACAACUUGGACAACCAUUUCCAACAUCAGAACUAGUGUUACUGUCAAUAACAGAUUCUCGCACUUCUGGAACAGUUGACUCACCGAAUCUAUUUAAUUCACUUUUUAUAUGAACGUACGAUAAAUUAUUCUCUAAGAUUUUUUUAGGGUUAGAGCAGAUAUUAUUAAUAGGUUUCAAUGGAUUGCUAUCAGAACUGAAAGAAAAGAUAUUUGAUUCAUUAGAAACUAUAUCCUGCGUAUAUUUUUUUUCUGAUAUUGGG